UGAGCACACACAUGUGUGUGUCUGUGUGUAGAGGUCGAAAAUCAGAAAUCCCAAAAUCUUGUUAAAUUUGCAUCGGACAGGCAGCCAGGCACCAACAGGCUCACAAGCGCAUAAAUUCAUAAUACUCGUCCUUCAAAAGGGAAGGUAUUUGAGAAAAAUUAAAUUUGUGGGCAUUUUUGCUUGUGCGGCUACAUGCCCACACAAACAUUUAAACGGAGCAUGCGGGCAUGUCUCGAACCCGAACAAAAACGAAGGCGACUUUGGACUAGCCGCACUGAAAACGCUUGUCCCCAGCAUUUGUACUGGUUGUCCUAGAUGUUUCCCUCUAUUAUACUCUUUUACCACUAACCAUACAAUAUAUAUGUACAUAUAGGAAUAAUGGGUCGCAAAUUCAGCUCUUGUGUGAGCAAAAUUAUUGUUUUUCAAAAUAUAUUGACAAGUUUCGGCAUUUGGCCUAUGUUUUACUGUGCUAUUUACGAGAUUUUCGUAUAUUUUUUUUGUAGGCUAGUAUAUUUCAUUUUCGGCAUGCCAGAAGUUAAAAGUAAAUUCCAAUUGCAUUUUUUUUUUAUCGAAGAUUAAGUACAAAAUCGUCCAUUAAGUGUAGGGAUCAUUUUUCUCAGUGCGGUUGGAACGAACGAUUAAAGAUGACUUCAAAGUUUAAGGUUUUUAACACUUUGAUUUAUUAAGCACUACAGCCAUCGAUAAGCACAUGGCGAUAGCGACUUUUAACUACGGGAUUAGCACACGAGGCGAGGGUACAAAGAGGAAGACUGAUAAAUGAUUUGCGAGGCUCAUUGGGUUUUUAUUUGAGAGCCUAAGCCAAUAUUAUUUGGCUCUUUUGGAUCCAAUCGACAUAGUUGGCGACCUUGCAGUAAACACCAGGAUAAGGUGCCACUGUGCAAGGCUUGAUACUCCAGGAUACAAUUCCCACCUGCUGGCCGUCGUACAAAAGGGGGCCGCCAGAAUCGCCACUGCAUUGUCCCUUUCCACCCUCAUCGACGCCACCGCAAAUGUGGUAGCGGGGAUCUGUGGAUCCUUGGUGACGCGCCACGCACUCCUCGUCAGAAUAUACUUUCAGCUGCACCUGCUGCAAGGUAGUCUGUAUACUUCCGCCAGUCUAGACGAUAAGACAAAAUGUUUGUUCACCUUUUUGACUACUGGAAUUCGAAAAAUAAAAAACUCCUACCGCA